AUAAACAGAUCCAAAACCACCUUGUCCAAUUUUGUUAGCUUGAGAAAAAUUAUCAGUGGCAGCAAAUAUGGUGCUAAGAUUGAAAAAUGCUAAGUCUGGAUGACUCCUGCUUGCCUGGAGCUCAUUUGCUUCCAAAGUAUCUUUGUCAUAGUGUGAACCACUGAUAGAAUCAAACAGUCUUUUCUUGGAUUUAUUCUUCACUCUUUUCUUUCUCUUCCUCAGCCACAAAUAGGCAAAUAUGAUAAUGGCAAACCACGCUGAUGAAACUGAAACUACCAGAAAGGCCAGCAUACCCUUCAUUUCAAGAAAACCAUUUGAUCUCGCAAUCUCAGCUAAUUCAAUUGCAUCAACUCGAACAUACACAUCGUAGCCGCUAUGAUCCAUAAGAGCCACUAUGUCCAUCAAGUCCCCAUACCAAGCCAAGCAGCCAACCUCUUUCCCUGGAAUUUUUAUGCUCGCAUAGGCAGAGCAUGAACAAUUCUUGUAGCAUUCUCGUUCACAGUCCAACCUAGUCAUCCUUGUAUUCACCCAAACUGCCGUUGAAGUAUCAGGAAUCUUAACCUGUGGCACUUUCACGAACCCUUCCCCUUGCCUACACACUGAUGAAGAUUUCAGCCGCUUCCUAACACAGCCACCUGAUCCAUCUCUCAUCAGAACCCAGUUUCUUGAGGACUUGGGUUCGUAACCAGGUAGACAAGAACAUUCAAAUGUAUUGACAUGGUUAGGAUCACACAUGCUAUUAGCACCACAGCGUCCAUAGGAAUCGCAACGAUACUUGGAUGCUGCCCAGAACUCCUUCCAUUGACCGUCACUUUCAUGCCAUGAAACCCACAUGAGCAUUCCUGAUUCAUCCAGCACCAUUCGAAACAGAACAGAACUAUCAUCAAGAGAGUAGGAAAAGGAUAUCUCUUCUUCAUUGUUAACGAAGCUGAAGUUGUAUAUAAUUGGUAUUGGUCUCCAUGGCCAUGGUGUGCCUCGCCAGUAAGGUUUGGAGCCCUCGUACAGAAAAAAUUGUGGUGAGCCAAUUGGGUUGAGCUUCAGUAAGUAGACACCAAUUCCAGGAUCAUCUGUUGAUCUCCACGAUGUCAGGAACCAGUUCAGACCUGUUUUACGGUCAAGCCCAAGUUUCAUUCCUGGUAGAAAAGUAUUAGUAGGAUAAUCAAAGCUCUGCCAUACAAUUCUUCCACUUAUACCUUGGACCAGAACCAAAUUUCCCGAAUCCAAGAGGUGAGCUACACAAGCAUCUGCUACAUCCAUUGAAACAUUUGUAGACCAUACUGGAACUUCUUCAUCUCUAUUACCGUAUAGAACAAGAUUUCCAUAUUGGUUGAUGGAAAGAACACCUGCAGAACCAAUGAUUGGAUGGUUCCUGUUGGCCACCCACACAACAGUUUGCAAUGGUAGCGUAAAAAACCAAAUUCCAAGAUAUCUAUAGCUGGAAUUGCCAGGGCUAAAAAAU
rnacentral:misc_RNA from 1 species